rnacentral:rRNA from 1 species
UACGUAGGGGGCAAGCGUUGUCCGGAUUUAUUGGGCGUAAAAGGCUUGUAGGUGGCCACGCCAAGUCGGAUGUGAAAUCUCCCGGCUCAACUGGGAGGGGUCAUUCGAUACUGGCGGGCUCGAGGCCGGUAGGGGGAAGUGGAAUUCCCGGUGUAGUGGUGGUAUGCGUAGAUAUCGGGAGGAACACCAGUGGCGAAGGCGGCUUCCUGGACCGGUUCUGACACUGAGGAGCGAAAGCGUGGGGAGCGAUCCGG